rnacentral:rRNA from 1 species
AUUGAACGCUGGCGGCAGGCCUAACACAUGCAAGUCGAGCGGUAACAUGGGAGCUUGCUCCUGAUGACGAGCGGCGGACGGGUGAGUAACGCGCAGGAAUCUACCUGGUAGUGGGGGAUA